UACGUAGGGGGCUAGCGUUGUCCGGAAUCAUUGGGCGUAAAGCGCGUGUAGGCGGUUCGGUAAGUCCGCUGUGAAAGUCGGGGGGCUCAACCCUCGAAAGCCGGUGGAUACUGUCGGACUAGAGUGCGGAAGAGGCGAGUGGAAUUCCUGGUGUAGCGGUGAAAUGCGUAGAUAUCGGAAGGAACAUCAGUGGCGAAAGCGACUUCCUGGACCAGUACCGACGUUCAGGCACGAAAGCGUGGGGAGCAAACAGG
rnacentral:rRNA from 1 species